CUGGGCACCCAGACGUUGCAGGGGAAACGUGUGAUGGAGAAAAGCCAGCGUCUAUCCCCCCAAGAAUCCUGUGAUCAGACCGUCUGGCAACCUAGUGCACCUCUGGGUUGUGUGUCUGUCUCCGAGGUCUCGCUCUUCGCGGACGCGCCCCGAUUUUCGAGCCCUCCGUGCCAGCGCACAGGCGGGUCAGUGCUGGGGUGAGGAGGGAAGAACCAGCGGGCCCUCUCCGCGUCCUCUCCCUCCUCUCCCUCCUGGGCUACAGGCCUGCGGGGAGCCGAGCGCGCAGCCCCGCCGGCCUGAACUCUGGGCCCGCCGCGUGGGGGCGCUGGCGUGCAGACCCGGCGGAGCCAUGGGGCCCGGGACGCGCAACCUCUCCAAAGCCCCAUUGCAAAACAACCCGGCGGUGGAGCUCCGCGGCUCCCUGAACCCAAAGCCGCGAGCCCGUCCCCUCGCCCCGUGGCCCUGCCCGCCGCGCCCGCGCCCCUCCGCACCCAGGCGAAGGGGCCCAGGAAGGGACUCCAGGACUAAGGCGGGACCGCGGGCGGGGACGCAGGGCCGGGGGUCGCAGGGAGGCUGCCAGCGCCCGGGCCCGGAUACCCGCCCCAAAUCCCGCCUGGUCCCGGCGCCACCCGGGCCGACUCGCCUCUGUGCCGGCCUCCAGGCUGGCCCCGAGCCCCUGUGCUCGUUCUUUUCGUUUGAACAAGAUCCCUCGUGAGCCCGCGGCCUCUAAACCGUUUGCUCUUGUGGGCCCUCCAGGCUGCCGCGUGGGUCUCAAGGUGAAGGCCUGGAGGGCAGAGGGGUGGCGGUGACCCCGUUGCUCCAGCUCUCGGGGCCUGUGACUGCCCCAGCCACGUGCGGCGCGGGCGACGCCGCGGUUCGCGCGGUUCCAAGAGUGCGACCGCCCGGAGCCCAGCGCCUCUCAACCUUGCCCGGGCUCGGAACGUCGCGGGGCGUGUUCUCCGACACAGAGAAUUCGUGUGAGCCGACUGGCCUCGCCCUGACCUGCCCCUCUUAGGACAACACGGAAAACCGCUGGUGCAGGGUUUGCGAGUAGCUGGUUGCGUCCGCCGGGACCCGACAGACCGGCAGGUACGAGGGGCAGGUGGGGAGGCACCGGAGCCUCAGCGCAGCCCCGCCCGGCACCACCUGCCCGCUUUCAACGAAACACGUCGCCCAGGCCCAGAGAACUCCGGGACUGUCUGGGGAACGCGCCAGGCCCAUGUCGGCUGGGGCGCUCGGAGCUGGGAGAGGGCGGAGAGCCUCCAUCCAGGCCGGAGCAUCCCAGAGCCCGAGGUGCGGAGCAGCAUGGAGCGCCCGAGGCGGGCGGCGCCAGGGCCAGAGUCUACCCAGGGGAUUUCUGCCGCCUUUAUAGGCUGGAAAAAUAAAGAUCAAAAACAAACCGAA
rnacentral:lncRNA from 1 species